ACCGGUGAGUGAUAUACGCCGACAGAUAGACAAAAGAAAAUAGUCGGAUGGAGGAUGACGAUGAGGAGGAGGAUGAGGAGGAAGAUGACUCCUUCCCGUUCGUCGAGUGGACCGAAUGUCGGCCGGUUAACGAGAUCUAUAAUUUUUAUCCAAUCUCCUUACUCGAAAUCUUCGGUGGUAUGGAACGGGACGGUUUUACGCGUUUAACCACUAGGUGUGUACCCGCGUGUAAUGUUUGUGUUUAGCACCUGUCACUAUAUUAUAACGUCGAAUCAUUAAAUUCCCAUCGCCGUUGUUAUGAAUGAGCAGCAGACAGGCGGCUACACGGUGCCAGGGGUAUUUACUGCACUCGCCGAGCAGUUAUACUCGGUUAUAUAGCAUCGCCUUAUUAAUUUACUGUCGGAUAUAUAUUAACCGUAUACAUACACGCGGUGAUAAGUGGCGUCGCAGACGCGCGACUGCGUUACACGGAUACGUGUGUUUUGACGACGUUGCGGUUCGAUCGUUCGUACGAUUUAAUGGUGUCAAAGUCAUCGUAUAAGCGAUCGUCCGGUUGAUCCGGUGGCGGUGAUCUUGAUUACGGACGAUCAAUUAUAGAAGAGACUGGUUUCGCGGAAUAUAGACGGGUAAUUCCCUCGGGACAUUCGAAGUUUCACUAAAUCGACAGUUGCACGGACUCGACGAAGGCAACCAGUGCCAAAAUGAUGACGUUGCAUUCACUGAUGAGCAUCACCUUCAUCGGGACGUGCAUCUACGCCCGCUAGAUUUCAAUGAGGAUAUUAUUAAUCAUAUUAUUACAUGUAUAACGGAUGAUUGAUAACGUAUGGAAGAGCCAUUAUGCCUUCGUGUCUUGUUUUUAUUGAAAUUACUGAAGCGAUGUUGUGGUAUUAGAAUGGACGUGCAACUUGUAAAUGAUAUUGAAUCAUUUCCAAGGUGCAUAUAGUGAGAUAAUCAUUUUGAUAAAGCAAUUGUUGAAUGUAUCCUUUCCGCAAUGACUGAUGAUAAUUAUUUUAAUUCUUGCACGUAUCGCCCACCGACAUCCUCCAUCAGCAAAACAUCAUAGAAUAAAACACUUUUUCGGAAUACUCCCACGCCCGUAAUGGAAAAUUCCGCAAGA
rnacentral:lncRNA from 1 species